UCAAUGACAAACUGGAGAAUGAGCUAGCCAACAAGGAGUCCCUGCACCGCCAGUGUGAGGAGAAAGCCCGGCAUCUGCAGGAGCUGUUGGAAGUGGCAGAGCAGAAGCUGCAGCAGACCAUGCGCAAGGCAGAGACCCUGCCAGAGGUGGAGGCCGAGCUGUCUCAGAGAAUUGCAGCUCUCACCAAGGCAAGUGGGCCAGGAGCCUGAAGUCUCCUCUCAUCUCCUGUGUCCUAGGCUCUUUUGGAGCCUGGGAGACACAUCAGGCUGGGGGCCAGGGAGUUGCUUCUCACAGUGAGACACCAUUAAACACAGUACCUCGAGUC
rnacentral:lncRNA from 1 species